CACCUCUCUUCCUCUUGAAGAUCCAUACUCUAUGAGUUUUAUCCCUUCAAGUGGGUCAACUAAUGUCUACACAUCAUUGACCUUUAUGGACUCCAUUUCAGAUUUCAUAGCUUCUAGCCACUUAUCAGAUUCAGAUCUCUGUAUUACAUCUAUAUAGGAGAUCGGAUUCUCGUUGUUCUUAUCGAGCUUAAUAGGAUCUCCAUCCCGAA
rnacentral:lncRNA from 1 species